rnacentral:rRNA from 1 species
AUUGAACGCUGGCGGCAGGCCUAACACAUGCAAGUCGAACGGUAACAGGAAGAAGCUUGCUUCUUUGCUGACGAGUGGCGGACGGGUGAGUAAUGUCUGGGAAACUGCCUGAUGGAGGGGGAUAACUACUGGAAACGGUAGCUAAUACCGCAUAACGUCGCAAGACCAAAGAGGGGGACCUUCGGGCCUCUUGCCAUCGGAUGUGCCCAGAUGGGAUUAGCUAGUAGGUGGGGUAACGGCUCACCUAGGCGACGAUCCCUAGCUGGUCUGAGAGGAUGACCAGCCACACUGGAACUGAGACACGGUCCAGACUCCUACGGGAGGCAGCAGUGGGGAAUAUAGCACAAUGGGCGCAAGCCUGAUGCAGCCAUGCCGCGUGUAUGAAGAAGGCCUUCGGGUUGUAAAGUACUUUCAGCGGGGAGGAAGGGAGUAAAGUUAAUACCAUUGCUCAUUGACGUUACCCGCAGAAGAAGCACCGGCUAACUCCGUG